UUGGUUUUUAACCUCAUGGUCCAGUUAGGAGCCUGCAACAAGUCACAGUAAAACAUUAACAUUUUUAACCAUAAUUUUUUGUUGUUGUAUACAAUCCACAUUAACAAUAUAAAUGGACCAAAAAGAGACAAUAGAAAUAACUGUCAAUGGCAAUGUGAGAAAAUUAUGGUAACUGGCCCUAAUUCAGGUUAAUAGCUUUAAAAAAAAAAAAAAAAGUAAACUAGGGCGGGAUCAGCCAGCAGCGGCUUCCCGCAUGCGCGAUUCAUUUGCAGUCUGGACGCGGAGGGGUGAACAUAUCCUGCUCCGACUGCUGCGCGAGGACUGAGCGGCUUGUGAGUGCUCUGGGACGGGGGUGGGGCACAAGGCAGCACCUGCUGCUCGUUGAGAAGAGGAAGAAAUAUACGUUCUUUCACGCCAGUCUCCAAUAACACCAGAAAAAGUCGCUAGAUUUGUCGCUAGUCGCUUUUUUGAAAAUGUGUCACUAGAGGGGUCUGAAUACUCACUAAAUAUAGCGAAGCCCCCACAACCGGGCGGCCGUUAUUGGCAUUCGCUAUGAAUGCCGGACUUUGGUUCACUAUGAGCAGACGAAUACAUAGGGAGUCAAAACUUUGAGUCUACACGUGAAAUGAAAAUGUGCGAGUACCAUCAUGUGGUUUGGAUAAUUUUGAUGAUUAUGAUAGAAGCGUAGUGUUGUUAGUAUAGUAAUGACUAUAAGCCAUUGCAGAGCCAGGGUGAAAUUCCCCUUAAAGAUAGCUAGGUGGGACAACAACACAUCACAGACAUAGUAAGUACAUUUUUCCUCAGUAAAGUAGCUAUCAGAAAAGUCUGAGCUAGAAAGGGGGGAAGAAAGUCAAUUUAGAGUGGUAGUUCACAAAAUGUUUUUUUUUUUUUGUGAGGUGGCGGUGCAGAGGGGGGAUUUAUUUGAAUUACUCUUAGAAGAGGUAGGGUUUCAGAUGUUUUCGGAAGAUGGGCAGGGACUCCGCUGUACUUGCCCCAGAGGGAAGCUGGUUCCACCAUUGGGGUGUCAGGACAGAGAAGAGCUUGCACUGGGCUGAGUUGGAGCUGCCCUUUCAUAGGUCUUGUAGUGGAUGCGAGCUUUGACUAGAAGCCAGUGGAGCAUGCAGAGGAGUGGGGAUGACAUGGUAGAACUUGGGAAGGUUGAACACCAGGUGGGCUGCAGCAUUCAGGAUAAGUUGCAGGAAGGGAUGGCAAAAGCGGGGAGCCCAGCCAACAGCGAGUUGUGUGAGGUAGGGCUGUACUGUGUGGAUGUUGUAGAGCAUGAACCUGCAGGAACAAGUCACUGCUUUGAUGUUUGCAGAGAAUGACGGGGUGUUGUCCAGGGUCACGCCAAAGUUCUUUGCACUCGGAGGGGAACACCGUGGAGUUGUCAACCGUGAUCGAGAGGUCUUGGUGCUGGCAGACCUUCCGAGAGAGGAAGAGCAGCUCCAUCCUUUUGAGGUUAUGCUUGAUGUGGUGGGCUGACAUCCAAGCUGAGAUAUCUGCCAGUUGUGCAAAAAAUGGGUGUCAACAACUGGGUGUCAGAAGUGAGGAAAGGAGAAAAAUCAGUUGAGUGACAUCUGCACAGCAAUGAUAGGAGAGACCAUGUGAGGAUAUGAUGGAGCCGAGUGACUUGGUGUAUAGAAAGAAGAGUGGGUCUAUAACCGAGUCCUGGGGGAGACCAGUAGUGAGAGUACGUGGUGCAGAGACAGAUCCUCUCCAAGUCACCUGGUUGGAGCAGCUAGGCUACCUGCUGCCUGCCUCUGUGACACAGAGAAGAGCAGUCUUGGUUGAGUGACCUGCCUUGAAGCCUGACUGGUUAAGAUCAAGAAGUUCUGAGAUAGCGAAAUACUUGGUCAGAGACAACACACUCAAGUGUUUUGGAAAGGAGAUAAAUAAGGGAUACUGGUCUGUAGUUUGACGUCAGAGGAGUCGAGUGUUGGUUUCUUGAGGACUGGAGCGACUUGGGCCAAUUUGAAGUCAUAGGGGAUGCAGCCAGUGGUCAGGGAUGAGUUGAUGAGGAAUGGAAGAAGGUCUCCAGAGAUGAUCUGGAGGAGGGAAUGGGUCGAGCGGGCAGGUUGUUGGGCGGCUGGACCUUACUAGUUGCAGGAUUUCAUAUGGAGAGAGGGGAGAAAGAAGUCAAGGAGUAGGGUAGUUCUAUGUUAGUGGGACCAGUGGACUCAAUAAGCUGAGUGAAUGAGGAGCGGAUGUCGUCAACCUUCUUCAAAAUGUUUGACAAAGUUGUCCGCAAAGAGGGAGUAGAUGGGGGGUGGGGAUUAAGGAGGGAGGUAGGUGGAAAAUAGUUUCCUAGGGUUAGAGGCAGAAGCUUUAAAUUUAGAGUGAUAGAAAUUGGCUUUAGCAGUGGACACAGAGGAAGAUAAUGUAGAGAGGAGGGAUUGAAAGAGUGGUAGGUUCUCUGGAAGUUUAGUUUUGCUCAAUUUUCACUCAGCUGCCCUGUUCUGUAAGCUCGCAAUGAAUCACUCAGCCACAGAGCAGAAGGGGAGGGCUGAGCCCGGGAAGAAAGGGAACAGUUCGAGUUAUAGGAUGCAGAAAGGGAGGAGAGUAGGAUUGAAGAGGCAGAAUCGUGAGACAGGAGGUAGACAAAGGAGAGGAUUGAGAUGAUUGUGGACUACAGGAAGAGGAGGAUCAAGCAUGCCCCCACUCUCAUCGACAGGGCUGUAGUGGAGUAGGGUGAGCUUCAAGUUCCUUGGCGUCCACAUCACCAACAAACUAACAUGGUCCAAGCACAUCAAGACAGUCGGGAAGAGGGCACAACAAAACCUAUUCCCCCUCAGGAGACUGAAAAAAAUUUGGUUUGGCAACUGGUUUGGCAACUGCUCGGCCUCCGACCGCAAGUAACUACAGAGGGUAGCGUGUAAGGCCCAGUACAUCACCGGGGCCGAGCUUCCUGCAAUCCAGGACCUCUAUACCAGGCGGUGUCAGAGGAAGGCCCUAAAAAUUGUCAAAGACCCCAGCCGCCCGAAUCAUAGACUUCUCUCUACUACCGCAUGGCAAGUGGUACCGGAGCGCGAAGUGUAGGACCAAACGGCUUCUCAACAGCUUUUACCCCCAAGCCAUAAGACUCCUGAACAGAGGACCUGAGCCCUAGGACCAUGCCCCAGUACUACCUGGCCUGAUGACUCCUUGCUGUCCCCAGUCCACCUGGCUGUGCUGCUGCUCCAGUUUCAACUUCUGCCUGCGACUAUGGAACCCUGACCUGUUCACCGGGUGUGCUACCUGUCCCAGACUUGCUGUUUUCAACUCUCUUUCGACAGCAGGAGCGGUAGAGAUACUAUGAAAAGCCAACUGACAACCACUGUGAAUAUUAUUAUUUGACACUGCUGGUCAUCUAUGAACAUUUGAACAUCUUAGCCAUGUUCUGUUAUAAUCUCCACCUGGCAUAGCCAGAAGAGGACUGGCCACCCUUCAUAGCCUGGUUCCUCUCUAGGUUUCUUCCUAGGUUCUGGCCUUUCUAGGGAGUUUUUCCUAGCCACCGUGCUUCUACACCUGCAUUGUUUGCUGUUUGGGGUUUUAGGCUGGGUUUCUGUACAGUACUUUGUGACGUCAGCUGAUGUAAGAAGGGCUUUAUAAAUACAUUUGAUUGAU